AAUGAACGCUGGCGGCAGGCCUAACACAUGCAAGUCGAACGAGGUAGCAAUACCUAGUGGCGGACGGGUGAGUAACACGUGGGAACGUACCCUUUGCUACGGAAUAGCCCUGGGAAACUGGGAGUAAUACCGUAUGAGCCCGAGAGGGGAAAGAUUUAUCGGCAAAGGAUCGGCCCGCGUUGGAUUAGGUAGUUGGUGGGGUAAUGGCCUACCAAGCCGACGAUCCAUAGCUGGUCUGAGAGGAUGAUCAGCCACACUGGGACUGAGACACGGCCCAGACUCCUACGGGAGGCAGCAGUGGGGAAUCUUAGACAAUGGGGGAAACCCUGAUCUAGCCAUGCCGCGUGAUCGAUGAAGGCCUUAGGGUUGUAAAGAUCUUUCAGGUGGGAAGAUAAUGACUGUACCACCAGAAGAAGCCCCGGCUAACUCCGUGCCAGCAGCCGCGGUAAU
rnacentral:rRNA from 1 species